CAGUCGCCACGGUAAUACGUAGGUGGCAAGCGUUGUCCGGAAUUAUUGGGCGUAAAGGGCUCGCAGGCGGUUUCUUAAGUCUGAUGUGAAAGCCCCCGGCUCAACCGGGGAGGGUCAUUGGAAACUGGGAAACUUGAGUGCAGAAGGGGAGAGUGGAAUUCCACGUGUAGCGGUGAAAUGCGUAGAGAUGUGGAGGAACACCAGUGGCGAAGGCGACUCUCUGGUCUGUAACUGACGCUGAGGAGCGAAAGCGUGGGGAGCGAACAGGAUUAGAGACCCGCGUAGUCCCUGUCUCUUAUAC
rnacentral:rRNA from 1 species